rfam:Camelus ferus unplaced genomic scaffold scaffold1392, whole genome shotgun sequence.
GAAGAGAUAGCUCAGUGGUAAGAGUGUCUGUCUAGCAGGCACAAAGGCCAGGGUUCAAUCCCCAGUACCUCCA